GGGUCUCUGGUCCGCAGUAUUUAAAAUUAUGAGUUUGAUGGUCCCUGAGGUCCAAAAGGUGGCGACCCCUGAUUUAAUAGAUGUUUAACCCAAA